GAUGAACGCUGGCGGCGUGCCUAAUACAUGCAAGUCGAGCGAACAGACGAGGAGCUUGCUCCUCUGACGUUAGCGGCGGACGGGUGAGUAACACGUGGAUAACCUACCUAUAAGACUGGGAUAACUUCGGGAAACCGGAGCUAAUACCGGAUAAUAUAUUGAACCGCAUGGUUCAAUAGUGAAAGACGGUUUUGCUGUCACUUAUAGAUGGAUCCGCGCCGCAUUAGCUAGUUGGUAAGGUAACGGCUUACCAAGGCGACGAUGCGUAGCCGACCUGAGAGGGGGAUCGGCCACACUGGAACUGAGACACGGUCCAGACUCCUACGGGAGGCAGCUGUAGGGAAUCUUCCGCAAUGGGCGAAAGCCUGACGGAGCAACGCCGCGUGAGUGAUGAAGGUCUUCGGAUCGUAAAACUCUGUUAUUAGGGAAGAACAAAUGUGUAAGUAACUAUGCACGUCUUGACGGUACCUAAUCAGAAAGCCACGGCUAACUACGUG
rnacentral:rRNA from 1 species